rnacentral:lncRNA from 1 species
UUAUGAUGACAAGUCUGGCCUCGUGGCGUAGUCUGGUUCGAGUAAUUAAGCCCGAGGGGUGUUUCACCUAAUGUCUUGAGCCAACUGGAUCGGGGGUCAUUGGUUGAAAGCUCGCUACAUGAACCUUACUAGAGCCUAAUGGGGUUGGAUAGCUGUAGUUGUCAUGUGUAUUGAAAAAAAAAAAAUUGAAAUAAAAAUAAGCAUGAAUGAGUUGGUUAGGCUGAACCUAGUGACAUGUGGUAAUGGCUGGUUUGACUCCAUUGUAUUGGACCUCUGUGUACCCGGGUUGUUUAGUUGAGAUUGAUAGCUCUUUCUUUACAUGCGAACCAUUCUAGACAAAUUUAGACAACAUGUGAUAUUCUGAAAAUUUGAUGGAUCAUGUUCUAACAAAUUGUAGAAAAUACUUGUGAACUUGAGUAGUGCACCUAAAACUCAGGCGGUACCCUGUUGUGGUGGAGGUAUUAGUACUCUGAGAAAGUCAUGCUAUUUUAUGCACACUACAUUUUCAUAUUUUCUUGCCUUGACAGUUGCCAUGCUUGAAAAUAUAUAUCAAUUAAUUACAUGUGUAUUAGCUUAAGAUUUAUUUCAUAUUUUUAUUAGAAUCUCAUGUCAUAUAAUUCAUGAUGUUUGUGGGUAACAUCUCUGAAAA